rnacentral:sRNA from 1 species
UGCCUUUAUUUGGUCGGUCCAUCGUAAC